rnacentral:lncRNA from 1 species
UUUUUUCGAUUAGAAAAUUGAGGCUCAAAAAGAGUGUUGUUUUUAGAACCAAAAUUUCCACAUAAGAGAUUUGAAGCGAUUCUUUAGUGAAGAACUUUUGGUCACUUUUCAUCAAUACAGAUAAAAGUUGAUAGAGAUAAAAAAUUGCAAGUCGCAAAAGUCAUACAAAAAACAUAUACCAAGUAUAUUCGUCUUAGCGUCUCUCUUUGGUCCCUGGAAAUUCUCCCGGAAUCUUCGGAGUUCUUCGAAAUCGUUGGUGGAAAAAUCAUUGUCCUCUGCUC